GACGAACGCUGGCGGCGUGCCUAAUACAUGCAAGUUGAGCGCUGAAGGUUGGUACUUGUACCGACUGGAUGAGCAGCGCACGGGUGAGUAACGCGUGGGGAAUCUGCCUUUGAGCGGGGGACAACAUUUGGAAACGAAUGCUAAUACCGCAUAAAAACUUUAAACACAAGUUUUAAGUUUGAAAGAUGCAAUUGCAUCACUCAAAGAUGAUCCCGCGUUGUAUUAGCUAGUUGGUGAGGUAAAGGCUCACCAAGGCGAUGAUACAUAGCCGACCUGAGAGGGUGAGUGGCCACAUUGGGACUGAGACACGGCACAAACGGCUACGGGAGGCAGCAGGAGGGAAUCGUCGGCAAGGGACGAAAGUCUGACCGAGCAACGCCGCGGGAGUGAAGAAGGAUUUCGGAUCGUAAAACUCUGUUGGUAGAGAAGAAAGUGGGUGAGAGUGGAAAGCUCAGCAAGUGACGGUAACUACUCAGAAAGGGACGGCUAACUACGUG
rnacentral:rRNA from 1 species